rnacentral:rRNA from 1 species
UACGGGGGGAGCAAGCGUUGUUCGGAUUUACUGGGCGUAAAGGGCGCGUAGGCGGCAUGACAAGUCACUUGUGAAAUCUCUGGGCUUAACCCAGAACGGCCAAGUGAUACUGUCGCGCUAGAGUGCGGAAGGGGCAAUCGGAAUUCUCGGUGUAGCGGUGAAAUGCGUAGAUAUCGAGAGGAACACCCUGAGGUGAAGACGGGUUGCUGGGCCGACACUGACGCUGAGUGCGCGAAAGCCAGGGGAGCAAACGGG